rnacentral:rRNA from 1 species
GACGAACCGUGCGAACGUUUAUUCGGAAUCACUGGGCUUAAAGCGCGUGUAGGCGGCCCGGCACGUCAUCGGCUGAAAUCCCCCGGCUCAACCGGGGAAGGGGCCGUGAUACGACCGGGCUGGAGUUCGGUAGGGGAGACUGGAAUUCCUGGUGUAGCGGUGAAAUGCGCAGAUAUCAGGAGGAACACCGGUGGCGAAGGCGGGUCUCUGGGCCGAUACUGACGCUGAGGAGCGAAAGCGUGGGGAGCGAACAGG